AGAGUUUGAUCAGGCUCAGAUUGAACGCUGGCGGAAUGCUUUACACAUGCAAGUCGAACGAUGAACCUUAGCUUGCUAGGGGGAUUAGUGGCGAACGGGUGAGUAAUAUAUCGGAACGUACCUUGUAAUGGGGGAUAACUAGUCGAAAGAUUAGCUAAUACCGCAUACGCCCUGAGGGGGAAAGUAGGGGAUCUUCGGACCUUACGUUAUAAGAGCGGCCGAUAUCUGAUUAGCUAGUUGGUGGGGUAAUGGCCUACCAAGGCGACGAUCAGUAGCUGGUCUGAGAGGACGACCAGCCACACUGGAACUGAGACACGGUCCAGACUCCUACGGGAGGCAGCAGUGGGGAAUUUUGGACAAUGGGCGCAAGCCUGAUCCAGCCAUUCCGCGUGAGUGAAGAAGGCCUUCGGGUUGUAAAGCUCUUUCGCAAGGGAAGAAAACUUACACAAUAACACUGUGUGAGGCUGACGGUACCUUGAUAAGAAGCACCGGCUAACUACGUGCCAGCAGCCGCGGUAAUACGUAGGGUGCGAGCGUUAAUCGGAAUUACUGGGCGUAAAGCGUGCGCAGGCGGUUUUGUAAGUCAGAUGUGAAAUCCCCGAGCUCAACUUGGGAACUGCGUUUGAAACUGCCAGACUAGAAUAUGUCAGAGGGGGGUAGAAUUCCUCGUGUAGCAGUGAAAUGCGUAGAGAUGUGGAGGAAUACCAAUGGCGAAGGCAGCCCCCUGGGAUAAUAUUGACGCUCAUGCACGAAAGCGUGGGGAGCAAACAGGAUUAGAUACCCUGGUAGUCCACGCCCUAAACGAUGUCUACUAGUUGUUGGUGGA
rnacentral:rRNA from 1 species